UAACCAUGUGGACCGCGACGGGACUGAGACAAAGACAACUUCAUCUUGCAUAGUGCAACCUCUUUCUUCAAGAGAGCACAGCCACCAAGGAGAGCAAGACCAGGAUCAGCAAAGAAAUAUCCAAGAGCUCCAAUGGCUGACGAGUCAUGGAGGCUGCCGAGUUCAGUGCAGCAACUGGCUGCCAGCAUACAGGAGCCACCAAGCCGGUACCUGAUCAGAGAGCAAGAACCGCUUGGUGGGAACCUGGCUGGUACCGAGAUGCCGGAGCCCAUUCCAACAAUCGACCUGGGCCUGCUGUCUGCAUCCAAUGAUGCAGAGGAAGCCGCCAAGCUGCGGUCGGCGCUGCAGACCUGGGGGUUCUUCAAGCUUUCUAACCAUGGAAUGGAGACCUCUCUGAUGGAUUCUGUGAUGACCACAUCAAGGGAUUUCUUCCGCCUACCGCUCGAAGAGAAGAGAAAGUACAGUAACAUAAUAGACGGGAAGCAUUUCCAGAUGGAAGGGUAUGGAACUGAGCAGGUGAAAACUCAAGAUCAAAGACUGGAUUGGUCCGAUCGACUGCAUCUUAAAGUGGAGCCAGAGGACGAGAGGAACCUUGCCCAUUGGCCCAUAAAUCCAAAAUCUUUCAGGGAUGACCUGCAUGAGUACACACUGAAGAGCAAGAGAAUCAAAGACGACAUCCUUCGGGCAAUGGCCAAGCUAUUGGAGCUCGAUGAAGAUUGCCUAGUUAACCAGUUUAGCGACAGGGCUCUCACUUAUGCUAGAUUCAAUUACUAUCCUCCAUGUCCAAGACCUGAUCUUGUCUUGGGCAUCAAGCCUCACUCUGACGUCUAUGCUCUUACGGUUCUUCUAAUGGACAAAGAUGUCGCUGGGCUGCAGUUUCUCAGAGAUGGAACGUGGUACAACGUUCCAACUGUGUCUAACUACACCUUGCUGAUCAACGUUGGUGUUACAAUGGAGAUAAUGACCAACGGGAUAUUUAAAGGGCCAGUACAUAGGGUUGUAACCAACUCUGAGAAAGAGAGACUCUCAGUGGCCGUGUUCUAUGGUCUGGAUCCUGAAAAACAGAUUGAACCGGUAGCUCAGAUGUUGAACGAGGACCAACCGGCGCGAUACAGGAAAAUGAAGGCCAAGGAUUUCCUAGUCGCGCACCUUGAGCAUUUCUCUCGAGGAGAAAGAGUCGUUGAUUCGUUAAGGAUAUGAUCAAGGGAAAAGAGUGGCACGACAUUGCUGUGCCGUGGCGCAAGGUCAUGAUGUUCGUUGGGGGUGGCGGGGUGCUCUCCAGAGAUGCUCACUCAAGGUCGCUGGAUCCAUGCGUGGAGAUGAGCCAUGUCGACCUGGACUUCGUUCUAAAGGACCACUGAGAAGGUGGGGUAUUUGAUCAGGAUCGUCUACUUUUAGAUGGAGCGGUGCCCUUCGUUGUGAAGCCGGUGCCCCAGAUUUUUCAUUUGGGAUCCCAGGUGAUGUGGCACCCUUUUCAGUAAUUUGGCACCACUAACCGACUCACACUAACGUAGUGUAGGGCGUAAGAGCAUCUUCAACAACCUUUGUAUAUUUGCACUCAUUUGU